rnacentral:rRNA from 1 species
GCGAAACUGCCGUGCUGGAGUGUGGGAGAGGUGACUGGAUUUCCCGGUGUAUGGGUGAAAUGCGUAAAUUUCGGGAGGAACACCUGUGGCGAAAGCGGCUCACUGGACCACAACUGACGCUGAGGCGCGAAAGCUAGGGGAGCAAACAGGAUUAGAUACCCUGGUAGUCCUAGCCCUAAACGAUGAAUGCUUGGUGUGGGGGGAACCCGAUCCCCUCGUGGCCGAGCUCACGCGAUAAGCAUUCCGCCUGGGGAAUACGGGCCCAAGGAUGAAACUCAAAGGAAUUGACGGGGGCCCGCACAAGCGGUGGAGCAUGUGGUUCAAUUCGACGCAACCCCAAAAACCUUACCUGGGCUUUGACAUGCACUGGACCGGGGUGGAAACCUCCCUUCCCGCAAGGGCUGCUGCGUAGAUGCUGCAUGGCUGUCGUCAGCUCGUGUCGUGAGAUGUUGGGUUGAGUCCCGCAACGAGCGCAAC